UACGUAGGGGGCAAGCGUUGGUCCGGAUUUAUUGGGCGUAAAGAGCGUGUAGGCGGCCAGACAGGUCAGCUGUGAAAACUCGAGGCUCAACCUCGAGACGUCGGUUGAAACCGUCUGGCUAGAGUCCGGAAGAGGAGAGUGGAAUUCCCGGUGUAGCGGUGAAAUGCGCAGAUAUCGGGAAGAACACCCGUGGCGAAGGCGGCUCUCUGGGACGGUACUGACGCUGAGACGCGAAAGCGUGGGGAGCGAACGA
rnacentral:rRNA from 1 species